AUCCAGAUGACGAGUCCAAAUAGAACGAAAUGGACAUCCUGGAU
rfam:Trichobilharzia regenti genome assembly, scaffold: TRE_scaffold0076100